rnacentral:rRNA from 1 species
UACGGAGGAUGCAAGCGUUAUCCGGAAUCAUUGGGCGUAAAGGGUCCGCAGGGGGCCGUGUAAGUCUGCUGUCAAAGAAUGAGGCUUAACCUUAUCAAGGCAGUGGAAACUACACAGCUAGAGUACGGUCGGGGUAGAAGGAAUUCCUGGUGUAGCGGUGAAAUGCGUAGAGAUCAGGAAGAACACCGGUGGCGAAAGCGUUCUGCUAGACCUGUACUGACACUGAGGGACGAAAGCUAGGGGAGCGAAUGGG